rnacentral:rRNA from 1 species
AGUGAACGCUGGCGGUAGGCCUAACACAUGCAAGUCGAACGGCAGCACAGUAAGAGCUUGCUCUUACGGGUGGCGAGUGGCGGACGGGUGAGGAAUACAUCGGAAUCUACUUUUUCGUGGGGGAUAACGUAGUGAAACUUACGCUAAUACCGCAUACGACCUACGGGUGAAAGCAGGGGAUCUUCGGACCUUGCGCGAUUGAAUGAGCCGAUGUCGGAUUAGCUAGUUGGCGGGGUAAAGGCCCACCAAGGCGACGAUCCGUAGCUGGUCUGAGAGGAUGAUCAGCCACACUGGAACUGAGACACGGUCCAGACUCCUACGGGAGGCAGCAGUGGGGAUUAUUGGACAAUGGGCGCAAGCCUGAUCCAGCCAUACCGCGUGGGUGAAGAAGGCCUUCGGGUUGUAAAGCCCUUUUGUUGGGAAAGAAAAGCAGCAGGUUAAUACCCCGCUGUUCUGACGGUACCCAAAGAAUAAGCACCGGCUAACUUCGUG